rnacentral:rRNA from 1 species
ACGUGAGCAACCUGCCGUGAAGUGGGGGAUAGCUCGCCGAAAGGCGAAUUAAUACCGCAUGUGGCCAAGGAAGACAUCUUCCUGACGCCAAAGCCGGGGCAACCUGGCGCUUCUCGAGGGGCUCGCGGCCUAUCAGCUUGUUGGUGAGGUAACGGCUCACCAAGGCUAUGACGGGUAGCUGGUCUGAGAGGACGACCAGCCACACUGGAACUGAGACACGGUCCAGACACCUACGGGUGGCAGCAGUCGAGAAUUUUUCACAAUGGGGGAAACCCUGAUGGAGCGACGCCGCGUGGAGGAUGAAGGUUUUCGGAUUGUAAACUCCUGUCAUUAGAGAACAAGGCACACGGUUUAACUGACCGUGUGUUGAUAGUAUCUGAAGAGGAAGAGACGGCUAACUCUGUGCCAGCAGCCGCGGUAAUACAGAGGUCUCAAGCGUUGUUCGGAUUCAUUGGGCGUAAAGGGUGCGUAGGUGGCGAUGUAAGUCGGAUGUGAAAUCUCCAAGGUUAACUUGGAAACUGCAUUCGAUACUGCGUUGCUAGAGGACUGUAGAGGG